rnacentral:rRNA from 1 species
GCUGAGAAUUUGAUCUUGGUUCAGAUUGAACGCUGACGGCGUGGAUGAGGCAUGCAAGUCGCACGAAGCAGUUUACUGCUUAGUGGCGGAAGGGUUAGUAAUACAUAGAUAAUCCACCUUUUACUUGGGAAUAACGACUGGAAACGGUCGCUAAUACCGAAUGUGGUGAUCCUAGGCAUCUAGGUUUCAUUAAAGCGGGGGACCUUCGGGCCUCGCGGUAAAAGAGGAGUCUAUGGGAUAUCAGCUUGUUGGUGAGGUAAAGGCUCACCAAGGCUAAGACGUCUAGGCGGAUUGAGAGGUUGACCGCCAACACUGGGACUGAGACACUGCCCAGACUCCUACGGGAGGCUGCAGUCGAGAAUCAUUCGCAAUGGGCGAAAGCCUGACGAUGCGACGCCGUGUGUGUGAUGAAGGCCUUCGGGUUGUAAAGCACUUUCGCCUGGGAAUAAGAGAAGUCGGCUAAUAUCCGACUAAUUUGAAGGUACCAAGUAAAGAAGCACCGGCUAACUCCGUGCCAGCAGCUGCGGUAAUACGGAGGGUGCAAGCGUUAAUCGGAUUUAUUGGGCGUAAAGAGCACGUAGGUGGGAAGGUAAGUUAGAUGUGAAAAUUCGAAGCUCAACUUCGAGCCCGCAUCUAAUACUGCCUUUCUUGAGGAUGGAAGGAGAAAGGGGAAUUCCAAGUGUAGCGGUGGAAUGCGUAGAUAUUUGGAAGAACACCAGUGGCGAAGGCGCCUUUCUAUUUUACUCCUGACACUGAGGUGCGAAAGCAAGGGGAGCAAACAGGAUUAGAUACCCUGGUAGUCCUUGCCGUAAACGAUGUAUACUUGAUGUAGUUGGUCUCAACCCCAACUGUGUCGUAGCUAACGCGAUAAGUAUACCGCCUGAGGAGUACGCUCGCAAGGGUGAAACUCAAAAGAAUUGACGGGGGCCCGCACAAGCAGUGGAGCAUGUGGUUUAAUUCGAUGCAACGCGAAGAACCUUACCCAGACUUGACAUGUACCGGACAGUGGCAGAGAUGUCAUCUUCCGAAAGGACUGGUACACAGGUGCUGCAUGGCUGUCGUCAGCUCGUGCCGUGAGGUGUUGGGUUAAGUCCCGCAACGAGCGCAACCCUUAUCAUUAGUUGCCAGCAUUUCGGAUGGGAACUCUAAUGAGACUGCCUGGGUUAACCAGGAGGAAGGUGAGGAUGACGUCAAGUCAGCAUGGCCCUUAUGUCUGGGGCGACACACGUGCUACAAUGGCAGGUACAGAAGGCAGCAAUACCGUAAGGUGGAGCAAAUCCCAAAAACCUGUCCCAGUUCGGAUUGUAGUCUGCAACUCGACUACAUGAAGUUGGAAUUGCUAGUAAUGGCGCGUCAGCCAUAGCGCCGUGAAUACGUUCCCGGGCCUUGUACACACCGCCCGUCACAUCAUGGAAGUUGGUUUUGCCCGAAGCCGUCGACUCAACCGCAAGGAGAGAGGCGUCGAAGGUGAGGCUGAUGACUGGGAUGAAGUCGUAACAAGGUAGCCCUAUCGGAAGGUGGGGCUGGAUCACCUCCUUUUUAA